GACGAACGCUGGCGGCGUGCUUAACACAUGCAAGUCGAACGGAAAGGCCCUGCUUUUGUGGGGUGCUCGAGUGGCGAACGGGUGAGUAACACGUGAGUAACCUGCCCUUGACUUUGGGAUAACUUCAGGAAACUGGGGCUAAUACCGGAUAGGAGCUCCUGCUGCAUGGUGGGGAUUGUAAAGUUUCGGCGGUUGGGGAUGGACUCGCGGCUUAUCAGCUUGUUGGUGGGGUAGUGGCUUACCAAGGCUUUGACGGGUAGCCGGCCUGAGAGGGUGACCGGCCACAUUGGGACUGAGAUAAGGCCCAGACUCCUACGGGAGGCAGCAGUGGGGAAUAUUGCACAAUGGGCGGAAGCCUGAUGCAGCAACGCCGCGUGCGGGAUGACGGCCUUCGGGUUGUAAACCGCUUUCGCCUGUGACGAAGCGUGAGUGACGGUAAUGGGUAAAGAAGCACCGGCUAACUACGUG
rnacentral:rRNA from 1 species